rnacentral:rRNA from 1 species
GAGUUGAUCCCAUGGCUCAGAUUGAACGCUGGCGGCAGGCCUAACACAUGCAAGUCGAGCGGUAGAGAGAAGCUUGCUUCUCUUGAGAGCGGCGGACGGGUGAGUAAUGCCUAGGAAUCUGCCUGGUAGUGGGGGAUAACGCUCGGAAACGGACGCUAAUACCGCAUACGUCCUACGGGAGAAAGCAGGGGACCUUCGGGCCUUGCGCUAUCAGAUGAGCCUAGGUCGGAUUAGCUAGUUGGUGAGGUAAUGGCUCACCAAGGCGACGAUCCGUAACUGGUCUGAGAGGAUGAUCAGUCACACUGGAACUGAGACACGGUCCAGACUCCUACGGGAGGCAGCAGUGGGGAAUAUUGGACAAUGGGCGAAAGCCUGAUCCAGCCAUGCCGCGUGUGUGAAGAAGGUCUUCGGAUUGUAAAGCACUUUAAGUUGGGAGGAAGGGCAUUAACCUAAUACGUUAGUGUUUUGACGUUACCGACAGAAUAAGCACCGGCUAAC